CCCAUUGGUCACCUGCCCACCGGCUCACCUGUCCGCCGGCUCACCUGUCCACCAUCUGCUCACCCGCACCCCGGCUCACCUGUCCACCACCUGCUCACGGCUCACCUGCCCACCUGCCCACCUGCUCACCCGGCCCUCCUCGAACUUUUCCCACCCGAAACUCCCAGCGCCCGGCAGCGGCUUUCGCAAGCCCGACGCCCGGGUGUUAUUUCCUGACCGAACAAAGAGCAACAAAGAGCACGUAUGGAAUUCCCACGAGGGAGCAUCCGUGGGCUCCCCGGAGGAGCAACUACACCCAAGUCGCGCUGUGGCUUCCAGCAGGUUACGCGCCGGAGUCACCCAGGCCCACGGAAGUGCACUGACUCCACCGAGGAGAAACGAAAAGUCUAAUGAGCGCUGAAACAUCUGACUACUUUUGACGACAUCAUCCUAUCAAUAGGUCACAUCUCAGAGCACGACAUACAACCUAGGUAAGGCUUUCUUUAUUGUUAUAAAGUAAUAUUUCAAGUAUUAUGGACGCC